rnacentral:precursor_RNA from 15 species
UCACACACAGAGGUUGUCUGCUCUGAACGAUGAAAGACAUGGGUAGUGAGACGUCGGAGCCUCGUCGUAUCACUAUUCUGUUUUUCGCCGUCGGGAUCGUGACCUGGAAGCUGUAAACU